AUUGAACGCUGGCGGCAGGCCUAACACCUGCAAGUCGAACGAGUGGCGGACGGGUGAGUAAUGUCUGGGAUACUGCCCGAUGGAGGGGGAUAACUUCUGGAAACGGUAGCUAAUACCGCAUACCAUCGGAUGUGCCCAGAUGGGAUUAGCUAGUUGGUGGGGUAACGGCUCACCUAGGCGACGAUCCCUAGCUGGUCUGAGAGGAUGACCAGGAAAACGGGAACUGAGACACGGUCCAGACUCCUAGGGGAGGCAGCAGUGGGGAAUAUUGCAAAAUGGGCGAAAGCCUGAUGCAGCCAUGCCGCGUGUAUGAAGAAGGCGUUCGGGGUGUAAAGUACUUUCAGCGAGGAGGCGUUACUCGCAGAAGAAGCACCGGCUAACUCCGUGCCAGCAGCCGCGGUAAUUC
rnacentral:rRNA from 1 species